CUCCAACACAAAUGGUCUCACAAGGACAAACCCUUCCAUCCCAAUCUCAGUUGCUACCACCUCAAGCUGCAGCUUCUCUCCAGUGUCAAGUUGCAGUAGGGUCAACUACUCCUGCGCCUCUUGUGCAUGCUACAGUCCCAGCUGCUUCUACACUUCUACCCACACAAUAUGCUCAAGCACCUGUCACUUUGCAAACCAUCCAGUCUGUUCAGCUAGACCUCACACAGUCUGUGAAACAACAACAACAUCCGCCUCUGCAGCAAUAUCAGCAAGCAGUACUGUCUCCUAUGUCACUCGCACCUAACAUCAACCCAAUGGGCACUUCAUCCACACAGUGCUUUUUACAACAGUCAAACCAAUCUCAAAUGCAGGCCCAGGCUCCGCCAGUUAUCCAAGCUCAGCUGCAACCAGUUAGUGUGGCCUCGAUGCAGACAGUCUUGCAGCCCAUGCCUCCGGUACAACCUCAGACUGCUCAACCGUAUGAGCAGAAGCUGCCUCAAGCCCACCAUGUGCAGCAACAGCAACAGCAACCCCUGCCUCAUCAGCAUCAGGCCCAACCCGUGCAGCAGCUUCUGCCACCAAAUGCUGUCCUACCACAAGAUCUCCACCACCAACCUAGUCAGCCUCAACCAGUACUCCAACAUAUGCUCCCGAUUCACAUUGCACCCAGUCAGGUACCUCAGACCCAAGCUAGAACUGUACCUUUGUACAGUCAUGUGGUCUCAGGUCCACCACCCUCCCCACAGAACCAGCAGAAACCAACCCUUCCCGCUCAAGCGCACACACAGACUAGCAUGCAGUCACAAGCACACUCAAACGCACAGGCACAGACCCACAUAGAGGCUACUGGGAGUUUCGAGCAGCCUCCUUUCUCCCAAACUGCCUUUAUUCCAUCACAGAUCCCCCCAAGUCCAUCUCAUACUUCCCUACAGCUGUCUGUUACAGUUCCAGCCCUACAGCCAUCUGUCCCAGUUUCAGAAAUUCCUGUUACAGUAGAGGCACAGCUAAACCAGGCAAGGCCUGCUGACAUGAUCCCUGCUUCCCCUCCUACUGUCAGUGCUUCACAGUCCCAUGACUCUA
ensembl:lncRNA